CCUACGGGGGGCAGCAGUGGGGAAUAUUGGACAAUGGGGGAAACCCUGAUCCAGCGACGCCGCGUGAGUGAAGAAGUACUUCGGUACGUAAAGCUCUAUUAGUAGGAAAGAAAAUGACGGUACCUGACUAUGAAGCUCUGGCCAACUACGUGCCAGCAGCCGCGGUAAUACGGAGGGGGCACGCGUUAUCCGGAUUUACGGGGUGGAAAGGGAGCGUAGACGGUGGCGCAAGUCUGGAGUGAAAGGCCGGGGCCCAACCUCGGAACUGCACUGGAAACUGUGAAGCUGGAGUGCAGGAGAGGAAAGCGGAAUUCCUGGUGUAGCGGUGAAAUGCGUAGAUAUCAGGAGGAACACCGGCGGCGAAGGCGACUUACUGGACUGUAACUGACGUUGAGGCUCGAAGGCGUGGGGAGCAAACAGGAUUAGAUACCCCAGUAGUC
rnacentral:rRNA from 1 species